rnacentral:misc_RNA from 1 species
GAAAGGCCUUUGAUCAGGACCAUGAUAUGUGCAUAUGGUAAAAGUUCAAGCACUGAUAGAAUCAAAAAGAUUGAAGCACUAUUGAGGCUUAUUCCAGAAAAGGAAUAUAGACCUUGGUUGAAUGUCUUGUUGAUUAGGGUUUAUGCGCAGCAGGAUCUGUUAGAGGGAAUGGAGAACUCUAUAAAUGAGGCAUUCCGGCAAAAGACCACUGUAACAACCACCAGAGUGAUGCGGACCAUUAUUGCAAGCUAUUUUAGAUGCAAUGCAGUUGACAGACUUGCAGCCUUUGUAAAACACUCUGAAUAUGCAGGAUGGAAAAUCUGCCGCUCUCUAUAUCAUUGUAAAAUGGUUAUGUAUGCAUCACAAAAGCGCUUGGAUGAGAUGGAAAGUGUCCUUGAUGAGAU